rnacentral:rRNA from 1 species
GACGAACGCUGGCGGCGUGCCUAAUACAUGCAAGUCGAACGCAGUGGGGACGGGUGAGUAACACGUGGGUAACCUCCCAUCAGAGGGGAUAACACUUGGAAACAGGUGCUAAACCGAUACUGAUGGAUGGACCCGCGGUGCAUUAGCUAGUUGGUGAGGUAACGGAUCACCAAGGCCACGAUGCAUAGCCGACCUGAGGGGGAGAGCGGGCAGACUGGGACUGAGGCCCGGCCCAUACUCCUGAGGGGGGCAGCAGUAGGGAAUCUUCGGCAAUGGACGAAAGUCGGACCGAGCAACGCCGCGUGAGUGAAGAAGGUUUUCGGAUCGUAAAACGCUGUUGUUUGACGAGCGGUAUCUAACCAGAAAGCCACGGCUAACUACGUGCCAGCAGCCGCGGUAAUAC